GAAAAAAUGAACUACAUGAGGUGCAAGCUAGAGGAAAAAUGAAUGUUAUCUACCUUAUUUUGGAAGAUGCAACUUUAAAGGGAUCCACAUCAAGACUUCUCCUUUUCACUGAAGCAGAACAUGAGAGAAGUUCACUUUCAUCAACAUUGAAGAGUCAUCCUGGAAGCCAAUCUGACAUCUUGAAUGAGUCCAGCGUGAAAAGGGGGAGAGCAAUCUUUGAGAAGAUGUCAUCAGGAAAUGGACAGAACAACCUUGAAGUGGGUCAUCGCAAACGUGUGAGAGGAUUACCAGAAGAGAGUACUCCCAAGGCUGGGAACACAUUGAUGGACUUUGAUGAGACCGUCUCCUUGAAAGAAAAAUUGGCUCUGUAUCAGGCCGCUGUGUCCAAGGCAGAGAGCAGCAACUCCUCUUCUAGUACUCCAGAGAAAACCAAAUCCUCUACUGUGUCUGGG
ensembl:lncRNA